AAAACUGCCAGAUUCUUGCAAAAACGCUAUUGAAAGACACAGUAGAGGAAGAAUUUGCAUGAAAAAUGUAUGA
ensembl:ncRNA T26H2.16 ncRNA